rnacentral:rRNA from 1 species
UGGGGAAUAUUGGACAAUGGGGGCAACCCUGAUCCAGCAACGCCGCGUGGAUGAAGAAGGCCUUCGGGUUGUAAAGUCCUUUCGGCAGGGACGAUGAUGACGGUACCUGCAGAAGAAGCCCCGGCUAACUUCGUGCCAGCAGCCGCGGUAAUACGAAGGGGGCUAGCGUUGUUCGGAAUUACUGGGCGUAAAGGGCGCGUAGGCGGACCUGUCAGUCAGGGGUGAAAUCCCGGGGCUCAACCUCGGAACUGCCUUUGAUACUGCGGGUCUUGAGGACGGGAGAGGGUCGUGGAAUUCCCAGUGUAGAGGUGAAAUUCGUAGAUAUUGGGAAGAACACCGGUGGCGAAGGCGGCGACCUGGACCGUAUCUGACGCUGAGGCGCGAAAGCGUGGGGAGCAA